rnacentral:rRNA from 1 species
GACGAACGCUGGCGGCGUGCUUAACACAUGCAAGUCGAACGGAAAGGCCCUGCUUUUGUGGGGUGCUCGAGUGGCGAACGGGUGAGUAACACGUGAGUAACCUGCCCUUGACUUUGGGAUAACUUCAGGAAACUGGGGCUAAUACCGGAUAGGAGCUCCUGCUGCAUGGUGGGGGUUGGAAAGUUUCGGCGGUUGGGGAUGGACUCGCGGCUCAUCAGCUUGUUGGUGGGGUAGUGGCUUACCAAGGCUUUGACGGGUAGCCGGCCUGAGAGGGCGACCGGCCACAUUGGGACUGAGAUACGGCCCAGACUCCUACGGGAGGCAGCAGUGGGGAAUAUUGCACAAUGGGCGGAAGCCUGAUGCAGCAACGCCGCGUGCGGGAUGACGGCCUUCGGGUUGUAAACCGCUUUCGCCUGUGACGAAGCGUGAGUGACGGUAAUGGGUAAAGAAGCACCGGCUAACUACGUG